AAUCAACGCUGGCGGCGUGCCUCAGACAUGCAAGUCGAACGCGAAAUUUCCCUUCGGGGAGAAAGUAGAGUGGCGCACGGGUGAGUAACACGUAGGUAAUUUGCCUUUGGGUGGGGAAUAACUCAGGGAAACUUGAGCUAAUACCGCAUAAUGCAGCGGCUCGACAUCGAGACAGUUGUUAAAGCGGGGGAUUGGAGCAAUCCGACCUCGCGCCUAAAGAGAAGCCUGCGGCAGAUUAGCUAGUUGGUAAGGUAAUGGCUUACCAAGGCGACGAUCUGUAACCGGCCUGAGAGGGCGGUCGGUCACACUGACACUGACAUACGGGUCAGACUCCUACGGGAGGCAGCAGUCGGGAAUUUUGGGCAAUGGGCGCAAGCCUGACCCAGCAACGCCGCGUGAAGGAUGAAAUUUUUCGGAAUGUAAACUUCGCAAGAACAGGAAGAAUAAGUGUGGGACAAUACCCACAUGAUGACGGUACUGUUUGUAAGCUCCGGCUAACUCCGUGCC
rnacentral:rRNA from 1 species